GUGCUGAGGGAUUUCAUGCUGUUGGCCUUAGAGAAGUACUGUCAGCUCUUGUGUGGGAACUGAGAGGAAGCAUGAAGAGGGUGAAAGGCCACUGAAGGGAAAGCCAGAGUCUCUCAGACUACAAAGGAAUCUGGAAGGAUUUGAUAGCUGAGGCUUUUCUUGUCGCAAGAACAAAGGGAGCCGUGUAUGGAAUUAAGGCAAAGGAUAACAGGAGCUGGCAGAAGAGUGCGUGGGCUUGUAUCCCAGGACUGUGCAGUGCUGGACCUUGCUGGCUGUGGAAGGAGGGAGCGGAGCGGUGCUGACCCCAGUGCAGGGAAAACACAUCUGCAUCUUUCGGACUCUUUGGUGUUGGCUCCCCCUCACCGAGCAUGUGUCCGAACUGUGGAGACCAUGAAGACAUAAGCAAAGGGUGAACAUGGAGACCAACUUCUCCCAUUUCAGGACUCGAAGACUAUUUUGCGCAGUUAUUUUAAACAGCUUUUAUAUUUAGCAAGUCUAAGCAUGAUACGAGAAGUAAAUAAAGCAGCAAACGCAACAGAAGAAAGAGAGAAGCCACAGUGCAGGUUUUGAGCCUGUCCAAAAUGCGUGGGUUUGGAAUACGUUUGCAUUUGGAAACGCAUCAUCUCGGAAGCAGGCUUUGGAGCUGCGUGCUUCUCUAACAUGGCGCUGAGAGCUGAGAGGGAUGUUUCCUUCUGAAAAUGGUGUUUUUCUGGAGGAUAAUUGGAAUUGAGGUGGAACGGACCUCAGAAGCAUCACAGCGUGCUGGCUCUGCUCUGGGAUUUAGGUGGGACUUAAAGCUGUCGUACCCCUCACGUGGUCCUGGUGGGUUUCUCCAAGCAAGGCGAGUGAGAAACUACGGCUACAAGAUAGCAACCCGAGAUGUUGGCAAGAUGUCCUGAAGGGCUGCUACAGGGAGAGCAGCACCUUGCAAGUCACUUCUCAACAAGAGGCCAAGGAGAUGAGAUACGGACAUCGGACCACACAGCGGGAUGGAGGCUGAGCACAGCAGAACCAAUGGAGAAGGAAGGGCUGGGAUGGGAGCACAAUGGGAGAAGUAGCCCUGGAGUAGGUGAAGCGUUUUCUGGUGCUGAGGAAAUGACAAAUUACUGGUGAAUUUGAAAGUCAUGAAAGCAAAAAUAUAAUGCUGGCUGGGGACCUAUUUAUCUAUCUAUUUUAAAAUGCAUUUUAACAUCCAUGUAUUUUUAAUUAAAAAUACAUUUUAGCACCAGCACAGCCAAACUACCACAGCGCCAAUCUCCUUUUUUGGAAAUUUCUUCUUAGCAUUCUGAAUUUAUUACAAAUUCAUUGUUUCUAAUACAAUUUUUCCCCUUCUCUCGUCAAUUUAUUAUCUGUUUUUCAUUUCCCUUCUCUUUUGUUAAUCUUUCUAAAUAACUUUAAAGUGGUCCUCCAUCUAUUUAGCUAAAUGAAUUCACUCCACAGAUACUCAUUAUUUUGAGAAUGAUUUAUGCAAGCACUAUUAGCUAGAUUGUUCCUUGUUUGAAGGUUUUUCUGCAAUCAGAAGAACUCAGAUUUGAGUCAGCUAGAAUGAGAUCCAGUGGAAAAAAAAUUAUUACAUAAAGCAUUCAGCACCUCCGUCAGACUUCAUAUGUGGGAGGUCAGCUUAAAAGGCAUAAAAACACAGAGCAGCUUUCCACUGUGGGUCUGACCCACUGAUCUCAUCUUAGCCUGGGCAAUGCUAUAGCAUCGUACCCGAAAAGUUUAAUCAGACUGUUGUUUUUUUUUUUCAGCUGAUCCUUGCAUCUCGAUGGGAAGAGGUUCUGUGUCACAGUCACGGUGGGGUGCAGGACAUUGUCAUACAGGGGAGCAAGAGCCAGGACGCUCCUUGUUCCUUAGGGUCACUGGGGGGUUUGCAGCCCUUGGGAGGCUGUAGGCAAGGUGGGAGGAGGAACAGUACAUGAGCUGGCUUUAUGAAAAAUACUUGAGAUGACUUGGGGAUCUUUCUGUGCAGUCCCAUCUUGUCUUUCUGUCCCAGCAAAUAGCUGCUUUGCACUAAAUAAAUGAAAUGGGGAAGAUGAGGAAGGAAGUGAGGUUAGAUGCCCUCAAUCCACGUGUGGGCUGUGAUGGAGCGGAUCAGUUUUCUGCAGUGUUCAAACCCUUGUGGCUGCUGUAGCUGUUGGGAGCUUGUGGCUGCCUUGGCCUGGGUGGCUGCUGACUGUGUGAUUUUGGAGCAGGUGUGCCCAUCCCCAGCCUUCCCACCUCCUGUGUGCUCUGGAAUACAGCCAGGUGCGUGCCAGUGGGGGACGAUCUAUGCGAGCCAGCUAAGAGCAUUACACAUCCCAUUAGGGCAGCUGUGAAAUCGCAAGCCAAGUGCCCAUUCAGGAUACAUACAUCCUCAGAUCGGUAUUGAUCUUGAGAAUUCUGCUGGCUUAUUAAUGAAAGCAGCGCUGCGGCCAGAUCCUUCUGGCUGGUGUUGAUCUGCAGGAGCCCUCCUGCUGCCAGUGCAGCCAGCUGGAGUAAACGGAGCAGGAUCUGCCCUGCUCCUUCCAACCGCCAAGCGUGGGUUAAGCAGGAGGCACGGGAGGAAGGGACUGCUUUUGCCAGCAAAAUGUUGUCUCUCUUCAGCAACGACCACCACUGGAGUUAAUUCAUCUUUAGGAGGAUGAGCCAAAAUCCCCACUGAGGACGGGACUGGGCCUAUUUUUUGCCAAGCUUCUUCAGAAUCCUCUGUUUUUGCAAUAAAAGUCCCUCUCGGCUGC